UUCUAUAUCACUCACAAUUUUGAUCAGCUGCCAUUGUGAAAGAUGUGAACAUUUGCAAUGAUGAAUUGUGUACUUAGUAUAUUAUGUUCAGCAUGCCUUCAAAUCCACUUAUAACUCAGUAAUGCUGAUGAAUUUGUCAUCUGAUUCCUUUGUAGAUGCCACUGAACCUUUGAUGAUUGAGGUGGAUCAGAUUUACCAUCGUGUGUGCCCCGCACCUCCUAUUUUCUACAAAUAUAAUCCUGUGAACACAAUAAAGACAUAUGUGAUUGGCACUCUGAAGUCUGAACAUGCUUGGGCUUGCAAAACGAGUUGGAGCAAGAUUAGGAAUUUUUCUUUGGGAAUAAGAUUUAUGAUUUCAGCUUCUGCCAUCAGCUGGUCUUAGUUUUGUUUUUCUUGGCGUGGAAUCUUAGUUCUUAUUUUAUUGACAGAAUUUUGCUUACAUCAACUUCGGAGGUAUAUGGGGAUCCUCUUGAGCAUCCUCAAACUGAAAACUAAGAUAAACCCUAUUGGAAUGUGCUUAACCCUAUUGGAGUUCGUAAUUCAUGGUUUUCUGUUCACAUUAAUUUCCUCUCAUUCUCUGUAGGUAUAUACCCUGUGUGUUGUCAGCAACUUCAUUGCUCAAGCACUGCGUGGUGAAUCCUUGACGGUCCAAUCUCUUGGAACGCAAACUCGUAGUUUCUGUUAUGUCUCUGACCUGGUUGAUGGUCUUAUCCGUCGCAUGGGAGGAUCGGACACCGGUCCAAUCAAUCUUGGAAACCCAGGGGAGAUAACCUCUGCAUGCCCCUGGAACCUGAGGCAGGCAGAGGUUCUCAUAUUAAUUUGUGCUUUAGGAACAAUAGUGUGAAGCAUUCGCUUAAGAUGAAGAAUUCUGGACAGUUUGGUUUGACACUUUUUUGUUAUGUUGAUCUGCUGAUUCCUAUUUUGACCAUCUCUAGUAAAUUCCUUUAGUUUCAGUAUUUCAUUGUUGUUGAGAGCAUAUAUUUGUUGAUCUGUUAUUUUUCUCUUUGGUUUUGCAGGAGAUGUACAAUUCCUUCGGCUUCUAUGUUCCUCUUGUUUGAUCUUUUAUGUUUUGUUUUCUCACUAUUUUUUCGCGGUUACCUUGGUUUCGAUCUUGAAGUUUGUUGUUCUUAUUUUAAUGAUGAUCUGCAGCUAUUGAAGAGUUGUUUGGAUUUUAAUUGAUUGCUCUUCCAAAUUGUUUCUGGUUCAUUAUUUUGUAUGAUAUUUAGAUAUUCAUUCAUCCAUUUUGCAGCGGGCUUCUGGUUCUAUAUUUUGGAUGAUCUUCAUGUUUAAUAUUUGGUGCAACAUGUACAUGUUUGUUGCAUAUUGCAUUGUAGUGUGGUUUUGUGGGACUCUCUUUGUAAUUAUGACCUUCUCAUCAGCGAUUUUGUAUGGAGAAUUAGGAUACUUUUCUUUCUUUUAUUUGUCAAAGUAGUUUUGCUGUACAUGUAUGUAUCACCUGGUGUUCACAGUCCCAGAAGUCUCAAUCACACUUCACCUUGUCAAUUUUGUUGUGUUGAAAAUGGAGACGAGUGCCUCUUCCCCUUUGUACUAGAAUCUUGUGAAUAAUUAAUAAGUACACAUGAACCUCAUGUUUUGCUGGAUGUGGUAUAUAUUUUCAAUUGUGGCUGAGCUUAAUCUGGCAAUCUGAUGAUUUUUAACUUCCUCUGCGCUUUGUACUAUUUCUGCAUGCAUGCUUCUCUCAUUCUUUCUUGGGAUAUAAUUGGUCGUUUUCUUACUUCUAUGUAUUUGUUCCCAAAUGAUAGUUCUUUAAUUGCGUGCAAGCUGGUGUUGAAGCUGUUUAUUUCAGUAUCCAGAACCUGAGUAGUACUCUGUCAUAAGAGAUUAUCAAGGACAUAUUCUUGCUUUGGUGUUACAAGGGAGAGAGCCUGUGAAUGUUUUUGCUUUGGUCAAUUUUCCUUAAAUCGACUUGGUGGGCCUCUCUUUGUACUGCUGAUCCACAUUGAUUUGAAGAAUUUUGCUACUAUUACAUUGGGUGUGUCGAAUAGUUCCAGCUGUAAAAGGCUUAAAUUUGGUCAUUUCUACUACGGCAUGGUUUAUUAUUUUGGCUUCCUGCUUCUGAGGUUUUAUUUGGUUGUUGUUGGUUUCAAACUAUUAUUGAGUUUGUUAGGUUUUUCGUCGACUUAUUUUCUAGUUCAUCUUUUGUGUCAAAUAUUAUUCUUCCUUAGAGCAUGUACAUAUCAUCAGUGUUUUGCUUUUAAUUUUUUUUUUUUUUUUGCAGCAUGCUAGACUUCUGAUGUGAAUUUUAUUUUUUGAUGUGUUACUAGUUUGGGCAGCACGCCUCAUUUUUAACAUGUAGUCUGGAGAAAUUUGGACAGUUCUGUGGGACUCUCUUUGUAAUUAUGACCUUCUGAUCAGCGACUUGGUUUGGAGUAUUAUACUACUUUUCUUUCUAUUUUCUUGGUUUAUUCUACAACUAAUUGUAACAGUAAUUUUGUUGUGCAUGUAUGUAUCACCUGGUGUUCACAGUCCCAGAAGUGUCAAUCACACUGCACCUUGUUAAUUUUGUUGUGCUGAAAAUGGAGAUAGUUCCUCUGCGCUUUGUACUACCCGUGUCCUGUGAAAUAAUUAACAAGUACACAUGAACCAUCAUGUUUUACUAGAUGUGGUAUAUAGUUUCAACUGUGGCUGAGGUUAAUCUAACAAUCUGAUGAUUUUCAACUGCCUCUGCGCUUUGUACUACUUCUGCAUCCUUGCUUCUCUCAUUCAUUCUUGGGAUAUAAUAGGGCUUUCUCUCAUAUGUGCGAGCUGGUGUUGGAGUUUUCGUGUGUCAUCUAGUGUGGAAGUUGUGUUUCAGUAUCUAGAACGUCGGUGCUACUCUGUCAUAAGUUCUUUGAUCGCGUGCAAGCUGGUGUUGAAGCUGUGUGUUUCAGUAUCCAGAACUUGAGUACUACUCUAUCAUAAGUGCAAAAGUUUACAUGAUUCUUGAGGAGUUGGGAUAACUUGGUGGUCCUCUCUUUGUAAUGCUGAUCUGCAACUUGGUUUGAAGAAUUAUGCUACUAUUCUUCUUGUUUAUUUUUCUACAACCUAUUUUCCACGGCGUAAUUGUUCUGAUAGUGUAUCAUGUGGUAUUGGCAGAGCAAGUUUUACAUGGGUUUGGUGUGUUACAAAAGUCUUCAUCUUUCGCAAUCAACCUACACCUUUCAAUUAGCUGCCUGGAAUGUAGAACAUUAGAGAUGAGUUUCUUUGCCGCUUAGUACUACUUACCUUCUGUGAAUAAAUUAACAAGGACACAUGAAUCAUUAUUUCUGAUGGCCUGGUUAUAUAUUUGCUAGGCUUUAAUUUGGGUUUCUCUUCUCGGAAUAUGAAUUAUUUACAUUUCAUUAUGUCCGUUUCAGCAUCCCUGCUUCUUUUUUCCAUUGUGAAAGCUUAGAGAGAGGUUAUCACAUCCCUUUGGUUUUGCAUUUCUUCUAGUGUUGAAGUUUUUCUGUGUUUCUAUCCGGAACAUCAGUUUUACUCUGUGGUUUUGCAUACAAGCUUCCGGAGUAACUCUUCCCUUCCCAAGGAUGAGGAGUUUUGGUCAACUUGGUUAGGUGUUUGUUAUGAUGAUUUGAACAUAUAGAGAUAAUAUUCUUCUAGUGUUAUUUUCGUUGUUAUUUUGUAUUUAUGAUGUGUACUCCUAAAAUGAUAUCGUCAUUGUUACAGUGGCUGGCUCGAGGACUUAUCUGGUAUGGCAUAUGGCAAGAUAAAACCGGUAAUUUGGCCUGUGGCAGGCAAGCAGAGGUUAAAACAGUAAUUUUUGCAUAUCUGUUUCUCUUUUGAUGGUGUGUCUGCUAGUGUUGGAUUUCUUAUUUUCUUUUUGUAUCUACCACUUGUGCCACACUAUGUUGGUCUCUUGUUCUGUUAAUUUACCACUUCCUUUGUUAUGAUUCUUUAGGCUAUUCUUGUCCACUGUGAUAUAUGAAUCUUCUCUCUCUCAAAUCGGUCUGUCACAACGAGGAAGCCUAAAAAAUUGUCAUUUCACAUGGAGCUCUGCAAUUAACUGUGGCAUAUAUUCGCAUUGUUGUAUUUUGAAGCAUUUGGUGAUUUUUAUUUUAACUAUGAAUUCUUCAUGUUUCUGUCUCUUGAAUUUAGUUUUUUUAACAUACUUUCCAUUCAAUUCAGCUUUGGGAUCUUUCAUGUUUUUACGUAGUAUUUUCUGCAUCUUGCUAGUCUUGGUGAUUUUGUGUUCUGCAAGAGGAACGUGAGAAAUGAAGCAUACAAGAUUCUAAAGUAUAUCUUUUCACACUCCCCUUGAAUGAGGAAUCUGGACUUAAUUUUAAUUAAGCUGCUUUGGCGUGUUUUACUUGAUCGGUCUGGUAUAGGUGGGAAGCUUAAAUUUGGUAUCAUUUAACACGGAGGACCAGAAUUUCCAUUUGGUUGUGACAUAAGUUCUCAUUGUUGUUAUGCUUUCAUUUGGCGAUCUCUACUUGACUAUAAAUAUUGCAUGGUUCUCAUUGUUGUUAUGUUCUCAUUGUUGUUCUUUGUCAGGGGGAAUAUGGAUUGUGUGAAGCUGUGGUGGAGAUUAUCAAGGACAUGGACUGUGAAAGCACACUCUACUUUGGACUUAUAGGGAGAUAGCCUAUGAAUGUACUGUGGGAUUGAAAGUUGCGACGAUGGGCCUCGCUAUAAAAUGGGUUAUGUUCCCCCGUAACUGUACUUGUUCAUGAAAGUCGUUGUCUUUGAGAUGGUGUUAUGUGGCGAUGUUUAUUUUUGUGAUUUUAUCAGGAAUUUUCCAUACUAAUAUGAUGGGUAGAGAACAACAAACAACUCUAGAUAAAUCCAGAUUUUUCUAAUAGUUGUUCUCCAUUAUUAUUUUUUCAUUGGUUUGAUCGCAUGUAUUAUGAAACCUAUUUUCUGUUGUGUUGUAGAUUUCUUCAAGAACCAGUUUUGUCUGCAGUGUGGUAGUUCUUCAUAGCAUAGCUCCUCGAGAUUUGAUUAAUUUAUCUCUAUUGAAUUCUAUCUUUCCCAUGAUUGUAUUCUAUAUCGUUGGUGGUUUUGGUUUUUGCUUCUGAAUUUUUCUUUUCUUGAUUUCUUAAACCUAAUCAAGUUGUUUUCCAUCUUUGUUGGUUUCAGCCUCAGAGUUUAUUGUACCUUCAAUUAGUUGUGGCUUAUCCAUAAAACUCUUUUGAAAGGGAAGGAAAGGUUGAAAGUUGAAUUCGUGAAAAUCUGUCAUUCUUUACCAACAUAAUCAUCCUAAGUCAUUGCAUCCAAAUUAUACAGUGCAGUAAUUAUAUCUUGAAUAAGAUGGCUUUUUUUAAAGAAAAAAACAAAUAAAGGAUGCGGUGCCUGGGUUUCUUGGACAUGUGAGUUUUGUGAUACUUCAUUCACAAUCAUUGGCUCCAGGUAAAAACCUUUGUUCAUUGAAUUUUUUGGUAUCAAUUUUUCAGGCUAUGAUCGCAGCAUGUGUAUUGAAUUAUAUGAACCUGUUUUAGGCAGAUUGUGUGUUGAAUAAAGGUAGUUCUAUGUAAUCAAGCCUUAGUUUAAUUUGCUUAUAAAAAAAAAAAAAAACCUUAGUUUAAUUUGAUGACCUUUACUGGAUUAUAAGUUACUUUUAUUUGAGUAUUACUCUUUCUAUUUGUAUUAUAGGUUCUUUCCAAUUUCCUCAUUUAAGUUCACUUGGAUGUUUCAUGAGAGAUAAAGCUAUGAAUGUGCAACUGUGGUACUGGCAGAGGUUAUUCUUCCAAAUGUGCAGUGUUGGUUUAAUUCACCAUUUACACUCUCAAAAUGUCCAGAUGGUGAAUUAAAAGAGUGUAAAUGGUGAAUUAAAAAUAAUAAUAAUUUGGUCAUCUGUUUUACGACUUCAUGUUUCAGCUAUGUUUGAUACUCAACAUCUACUUCUGCUAUUCCUUUGAGUUUUCUGUGUGGAAGAGAGGUUCACAUACUUUAUGUUCAGCCUUCGGAUGAAACAAUUUUUUUACUUACUUCUGCGUAUUUGUUUUGGGAUAGUGUUGAAACAAAUAUCCGCUUGGUUUGGUACUUUUUUGUCCUGUUGAUUUGCCACUUUCUUUGUUAUAAUUAUUUAUUUCUAUUUUCUUGCCAUUAUUAAGGAAAUGAUUGGUUUGGAACUUUAUUGUUCAGUUGACCAUUUGCCACUUUUUCAUUCUCUUGACUAUUCUUUUAUGGAUUGGUUAUAAAGAAUUGUUUGCCUAGCUUUUGGAUAUAGUUCUUCAUUAGAUAAUUGAGUUGUGUUUAUCCAUUUUGCAGUGAGUUAAAGUCUUUGGAUAUAUGUAGAACAUUUUGCGAUUCUUUCUUAAAUGCAUAAGAACAGAGAAGGUUCCAGAUAAGUCAAUUUUCUUCAACGACUCAUUCUUUAUCAAUUUUAUUUCUUUGCGUUUAUGGCAAAGACAUAUGAAGUGAACGGUGAAAAUGUUUUUCUGCAGCGCACGACUUCUUCAUAGCAUGGAGCCUAGAUUUUCAUUUGGUGAUCUCUAGUAAAUUCUUUUUGUUUCAAUGUUUAUUGGUUCUGAGAGUAUAUUUUUCAUGAUUUGUUAUUUAUUCUUUAUGUUGCAGGAGUGGAUGAUAUGAUUUUGAUUUACGUAUUGAUAUGUUUCUCUUAAUAUUUCACACCAUCAAACUUCUCUCUUCGUUUAUUCAUCAAGGUUUUGUUUUGUAUAAUUUUUUGAUAUAAUUCUUCGUUUCAUAAUUGAGAGAUGCGUUUAUCCAUCCAAUGUCUAUAAUGACUUGACGCAAUGGACAAGAACGGAAAGCGGUUCCAUAUACAAUAGUUUUGUGCGUUUCUUCAAUAUGAGUCGUUCUUUACUAUUUUUACUUAGUUUUGUGCAUUUUCAAAUUAAUAACUUUCCUCGUAGCAUGGAGCUUAGCGUUUUGAUUUGGUGAUCUUUAUUAAAUUGUUUUUGUUUUCAAUAUUUCGUCUUGUUCUAUAUUCCUUUUGUUUGAUCUUCAUUUUCUGUAUUAUUCUUUUCUGAUUGAUUA